GACAGAGGCCACAAGCGUUAGGCGGAAUCACUGGGCUUAAAGCGUGUGUAGGCGGAUCGUUAAGUGCUUUGUGAAAUCCCACGGCUCAACCGUGGAACGGCUUAGCAUACUGGCGGUCUUGAGCUGCCUAGGGGUCGCUGGAACAGACGGUGGAGCGGUGAAAUGCGUAGAUAUCGUCUGGAAUGCCAAAGGUGAAAACAGGCGACUGGGGGCAAGCUGACGCUGAGACACGAAAGCCAGGGGAGCAAACGGG
rnacentral:rRNA from 1 species